AUUUAUAUAGUAUAAAAAUUAUAUUUGAUUUCCAAUCAAAAGAUCUAAUCCAUUUUAGUAUAAAUA
rnacentral:tRNA from 1 species